UGUAUCAUGUUUAAUUGUUGGAUUUUUGGGUUUUUAUUAGUUUAUACGUCUUGUGGUAACAAAGUCUUUUAUUUUGACAUUCAUCCAUGUAAGCGGAUAUUGCGGUGUGCUUAAAGCAUUCUAGUAAGGAGCGCAACUAAGACGCACAUGGUCGAUUCAUUCAAAGGUUUACGGUUAAAGAGAACUUCAAGGAUUUAGCUCCUGGUUUAAAUGGAGAAUAAGCUCUUACGGUGAUUCGUGAUGUCUUAUGGCAUUUAACGGUGAUUACUACAAAUCUACGGUGACGGAUCUUUAAUAAAGCUCAUUAUGAAUCAUCAGUUGAAGAGUCCAACAUUUUUUAAGCCAGGAAGCUACAAUCAG